rnacentral:rRNA from 1 species
AUACGGAAGGUCCGGGCGUUAUCCGGAUUUAUUGGGUUUAAAGGGAGCGCAGGCGGCACUUCAAGCGUGACGUUAAAUUUCGGGGCUCACCCCCGUUUUGCGUCGCGAACUGUUGUGCUUGAGUAGGCGGCAGGGAGGCGGAAUUCGCGGUGUAGCGGUGAAAUGCUUAGAUAUCGCGAGGAACUCCGAUAGCGCAGGCAGCCUCCCGUUGCUUUACUGACGCUCAUGCUCGAAGGUGCGGGUAUCGAACAGGAUUAGAUACCCUGGUAGUCCGCACUGUAAACGAUGGAUGCCCGCUGUUGGGCCUUUUGGGUUCAGUGGCCAAGAGAAAUCGUUAAGCAUCCCACCUGGGGAGUACGCCGGCAACGGUGAAACUCAAAUGAAUUGACGGGG